rnacentral:rRNA from 1 species
GUUGUAUGGUUAAGUGACUAAGCGUACACGGUGGAUGCCUGGGCAGUCAGAGGCGAUGAAGGACGUACUAACUUGCGAUAAGCGCAGAUAAGGCAGUAAGAGCCGUUUGAGUCUGCGAUUUCCGAAUGGGGAAACCCAACUGCAUAAGCAGUUACUGUUAACUGAAUACAUAGGUUAACAGAGCAAACCGGGGGAACUGAAACAUCUAAGUACCCGAGGAGAAGAAAUCAACCGAGAUUCCGGUAGUAGCGGCGAGCGAACCUGGAUUAGCCCUUAAGCACUCGGUGAAGUAGGUGAACAAGCUGGAAAGCUUGGCGAUACAGGGUGAUAGCCCCGUAACCGACGCUUCAUCGAGCGUGAAAUCGAGUAGGGCGGGACACGUGAUAUCCUGUCUGAAUAUGGGGGGACCAUCCUCCAAGGCUAAAUACUCCUGACUGACCGAUAGUGAACCAGUACCGUGAGGGAAAGGCGAAAAGAACCCCUGUGAGGGGAGUGAAAUAGAACCUGAAACCGUGUACGUACAAGCAGUAGGAGCACCUUCGUGGUGUGACUGCGUACCUUUUGUAUAAUGGGUCAGCGACUUAUAUUCAGUGGCAAGGUUAACCGUAUAGGGGAGCCGUAGCGAAAGCGAGUCUUAACUGGGCGCUCAGUCUCUGGAUAUAGACCCGAAACCGGGUGAUCUAGCCAUGGGCAGGUUGAAGGUUGAGUAACAUCAACUGGAGGACCGAACCGACUAAUGUUGAAAAAUUAGCGGAUGACUUGUGGCUAGGGGUGAAAGGCCAAUCAAACUCGGAGAUAGCUGGUUCUCCCCGAAAGCUAUUUAGGUAGCGCCUCGGACGAAUACUACUGGGGGUAGAGCACUGUUAAGGCUAGGGGGUCAUCCCGACUUACCAACCCUUUGCAAACUCCGAAUACCAGUAAGUACUAUCCGGGAGACACACGGCGGGUGCUAACGUCCGUCGUGGAGAGGGAAACAACCCAGACCGCCAGCUAAGGUCCCAAAGUAUUGCUAAGUGGGAAACGAUGUGGGAAGGCUCAGACAGCUAGGAUGUUGGCUUAGAAGCAGCCAUCAUUUAAAGAAAGCGUAAUAGCUCACUAGUCGAGUCGGCCUGCGCGGAAGAUGUAACGGGGCUAAGCAAUACACCGAAGCUGCGGCAAUAUCUUUUAGAUAUUGGGUAGGGGAGCGUUCUGUAAGCCGUUGAAGGUGAAUCGUAAGGUUUGCUGGAGGUAUCAGAAGUGCGAAUGCUGACAUGAGUAACGACAAAGGGGGUGAAAAACCUCCUCGCCGGAAGACCAAGGGUUCCUGUCCAACGUUAAUCGGGGCAGGGUGAGUCGACCUCUAAGGUGAGGCCGAAAGGCGUAAUCGAUGGGAAACGGGUUAAUAUUCCCGUACUUCUGACUAUUGCGAUGGGGGACGGAGAAGGCUAGGUGGGCCAGGCGACGGUUGUCCUGGUUCAAGUGCGUAGGCUUGAGAGUUAGGUAAAUCCGGCUCUCUCUAAGGCUGAGACACGACGUCGAGCUGCUACGGCAGUGAAGUCAUUGAUGCCAUGCUUCCAGGAAAAGCCUCUAAGCUUCAGAUAGUCAGGAAUCGUACCCCAAACCGACACAGGUGGUCGGGUAGAGAAUACCAAGGCGCUUGAGAGAACUCGGGUGAAGGAACUAGGCAAAAUGGUACCGUAACUUCGGGAGAAGGUACGCUCUUGAUGGUGAAGUCCCUCGCGGAUGGAGCUGACGAGAGUCGCAGAUACCAGGUGGCUGCAACUGUUUAUUAAAAACACAGCACUGUGCAAAAUCGCAAGAUGACGUAUACGGUGUGACGCCUGCCCGGUGCCGGAAGGUUAAUUGAUGGGGUUAGCGCAAGCGAAGCUCUUGAUCGAAGCCCCGGUAAACGGCGGCCGUAACUAUAACGGUCCUAAGGUAGCGAAAUUCCUUGUCGGGUAAGUUCCGACCUGCACGAAUGGCGUAAUGAUGGCCACGCUGUCUCCACCCGAGACUCAGUGAAAUUGAAAUCGCUGUGAAGAUGCAGUGUACCCGCGGCUAGACGGAAAGACCCCGUGAACCUUUACUACAGCUUGGCACUGAACAUUGAACCUACAUGUGUAGGAUAGGUGGGAGGCUAUGAAGACGUGACGCCAGUUGCGUUGGAGCCGUCCUUGAAAUACCACCCUUGUAUGUUUGAUGUUCUAACUUAGCCCCAUUAUCUGGGGUGAGGACAGUGCCUGGUGGGUAGUUUGACUGGGGCGGUCUCCUCCCAAAGAGUAACGGAGGAGCACGAAGGUGGGCUAAUCACGGUUGGACAUCGUGAGGUUAGUGCAAUGGCAUAAGCCCGCUUAACUGCGAGAAUGACGGUUCGAGCAGGUGCGAAAGCAGGUCAUAGUGAUCCGGUGGUUCUGUAUGGAAGGGCCAUCGCUCAACGGAUAAAAGGUACUCCGGGGAUAACAGGCUGAUACCGCCCAAGAGUUCAUAUCGACGGCGGUGUUUGGCACCUCGAUGUCGGCUCAUCACAUCCUGGGGCUGAAGUCGGUCCCAAGGGUAUGGCUGUUCGCCAUUUAAAGUGGUACGCGAGCUGGGUUUAGAACGUCGUGAGACAGUUCGGUCCCUAUCUGCCGUGGGCGUUGGAAGAUUGAAGGGGGCUGCUCCUAGUACGAGAGGACCGGAGUGGACGAACCUCUGGUGUUCGGGUUGUGUCGCCAGACGCAUUGCCCGGUAGCUAAGUUCGGAAUUGAUAAGCGCUGAAAGCAUCUAAGCGCGAAGCGAGCCCUGAGAUGAGUCUUCCCUGAUACUUUAAGUAUCCUAAAGGGUUGUUCGAGACUAGAACGUUGAUAGGCAGGGUGUGUAAGCGUUGUGAGGCGUUGAGCUAACCUGUACUAAUUGCCCGUGAGGCUUAACCAUACAACACCCAAGGGGUUUUGUA